GUCCACGCCGUAAACUAUGAGAGCUAGACGUCGGGCGGCUUGCCGUUCGGUGUCGCAGCUAACGCAUUAAGCUCUCCGCCUGGGGAGUACGGCCGCAAGGUUAAAACUCAAAGGAAUUGACGGGGGCCCCGCACAAGCGGUGGAGCAUGUGGUUUAAUUCGAAGCAACGCGCAGAACCUUACCAUCCCUUGACUUGGACGUCGCGGGCCCAGAGAUGGGUCUUUCAGUUCGGCUGGACGUCGCACAGGUGCUGCAUGGCUGUCGU
rnacentral:rRNA from 1 species